CACGUAGGCACCAAGCGUUGUCCGGAUUUAUUGGGCGUAAAGAGCGUGUAGGCGGCCGUACAGGUCAGCUGUGAAAACUCGAGGCUCAACCUCGAGACGUCGGUUGAAACCGUACGGCUAGAGUCCGGAAGAGGAGAGUGGAAUUGCCGGUGUAGUGGUGAAAUGCGUAGAGAUCGGCAGGAACACCCAGGGAGAAAUCAGUGGACUGGCACGGUGCUGACGCUCAGGUGCGAAAGCGUGGGGAGCGAACCGG
rnacentral:rRNA from 1 species